rnacentral:lncRNA from 1 species
CAGGAAAACACCUCUUUUUCCCCCCCAGUUCCACAGCCGGGCACCCAAACCCAACGGCGGCCACGGGGCGGCCCCUCCCCAGCUCAGACGGUGGCCUCCACCUCGGGGGGCUCAUCCCCCUCCAGCAGGCUGUAUGCUGCGUGGCUCUGGAAGGGCCUCUGCAGGGGAUGCGCCAGCAGUUUGGCCAUGCAGUUGUGCAGCUCCACCGCCGGCCCCGUCAGCGUCACCUCGUACCUGUAGUUGGUGCCCUUGGUGUCCAGGCUGCCAAAGAAGGCAUACAGCUCCUUCCAGCUGGUCUCGUCCUCCUUCUCCUCCGCCCCAUUGUGGAUAUAGACGACGUCGAAGAAGAAAUAGGGGCACUGCAGCAUCUUCUUCAUCUGCUCUGACACAGAGAACUGGGGCUGGCAGCCGGGGCGGCCGAGCACCAGGAUGGUGCGCACCACGUAGGGCGGGGGGAUGGUCUGCACGUUGUCCGUCACCGGCAGCUCGAUCUUCUGCUGGAUGAGGUUGAAGAGCCCGUCCAGAUUGAAGGACUUGCAGACGACGGUCUCCAGGUCGUAGAGGCAGCUGCAGACCUCACGGGGGUCUGAGGUGAACCCUGAAAGCCACGUGGCGUCGUUGUUCACCACCACCAGUGCAAACUCGUGGCUCUUGUCAAUCUUGUGCUUCGUCCUCACAAACAUCUCAAUCAUCUUCUGUGAGAUGUUCAGCGCGUUGGUCUUGGAGCCAUUGAACGACUCCAGCUUGGGCAGAGCCAUCUCCUCAGCCAGGUCCAGGCAGAUGAUCACCUUCUCAGGGCAAUUCACCCGCGGUGUCUUCACCUGCACCUCGGGGGGGGGAUGUGCGGGGCCGGGCCAGGCGGUGCCAUCGGGGGCAGCGGUUCCCUGCGGGCUGUCCUCGCUGCUGGCCGCCUCCCCCUCCCCCUCGCUGCGGUUCCCCACGCUGCUCUGAGCGCUCAAUGCCCGAUCCUCGGCGCCCUCAGGGUUGGAGCGGGUGCGCGGCCGCUGCUCCGGAGCCUUUUCCUCCUCCUCCUCAGCAGCACUGCCCGGCCCCGACGUGUCCAUCCCGCAGCUGCGCUCCAUGGCACCGCUCUGGGGGGGCCGCUCUCGGCCGCCCGAGCCCCGCCCGGCG